AGCAGCCGCGGUAAUUCCAGCUCCAAUAGCGUAUAUUAAAGUUGUUGCAGUUAAAAAGCUCGUAGUUGAAUUUCGGGGUCAGUAGGUCGGUCGUGCCACUGGUAUGAACUGGUUUUACUGAUUCCUCCCUCUUGAAGAACUGUAAUGCCAUUAAUUUGGUGUUGCAGGGAGUCAGGACUGUUACUUUGAAAAAAUUAGAGUGUUUAAAGCAGGCUUUAGCUUGAAUACAUUAGCAUGGAAUAAUGAAAUAGGACGUUUGAUCCUAUUUUGUUGGUUUCUAGGAUUGACGUAAUGAUUAAUAGGGAUAGUUGGGGGCAUUAGUAUUCAAUUGUCAGAGGUGAAAUUCUUGGAUUUAUUGAAGACUAACUACUGCGAAAGCAUUUGCCAAGGAUGUCUUCAUUAAUCAAGAACGAAAGUUAGGGGAUCGAAGACGAUCAGAUACCGUCGUAGUCUUAACCAUAAACUAUGCCGACUAGGGAUCGGAUGAUGUUAAUUUUUUAAUGACUCAUUCGGCGCCUUACG
rnacentral:rRNA from 1 species